rnacentral:rRNA from 1 species
UUGAAAGGGAAACGAUUGAAGUCAGUCGUACCGGCGGAUAAUCAACCUUUCGGCGUGAUUAUGUGGAGCGUGAGGAGUUAAUCACUUUCAUGCCUGCAUAUUCGUGUAUUUUGGGUGUACUUAUCUGUAUGGUAGGUUAACAUCAAUUUUGGUCGUUAUAAAAUGACUGGGGAAAUGUGGCUUUGAUUUCGUAUUGAAGUGUUAUAGUCUCUGGUAGAUAUAGUGACCGGGAUUGAGGAUUGCAACGGAUACCCUUUCGGGGCUACUCGUCUGAUCUCUGAUCGUUACUCUGGUGCUGAAAGCUUGCUUACGGUUAUCAAAGUUGACGUUCAACAGGUUAGAACGGGAUAAAUUCGUUAAGGAUGUUGACGUA